AUAAUCGAACACCAUCUUCGUCCCUUUAUUCAUGUACAAAUUUCUUUGAAUUUUCAGUAUAAUCCGAAGUAUUUUUACAGACAUACUUUCUUCUGCAAUCGCUAUGGUUUUUUACACGAAAAACCCAUUUCUUUGAUCUCCCAAAAGACCCCUUUUCGUUUAAAUGCUAUAUUUCCAAAAUCCCUUUCUGGGUUUGAUUUUUUG
rnacentral:misc_RNA from 1 species